GUCGAGCGGACAGAUGGGAGCUUGCUCCCUGAUGUUAGCGGCGGACGGGUGAGUAACACGUGGGUAACCUGCCUGUAAGACUGGGAUAACUCCGGGAAACCGGGGCUAAUACCGGAUGGUUGUCUGAACCGCAUGGUUCAGACAUAAAAGGUGGCUUCGGCUACCACUUACAGAUGGACCCGCGGCGCAUUAGCUAGUUGGUGAGGUAACGGCUCACCAAGGCGACGAUGCGUAGCCGACCUGAGAGGGUGAUCGGCCACACUGGGACUGAGACACGGCCCAGACUCCUACGGGAGGCAGCAGUAGGGAAUCUUCCGCAAUGGACGAAAGUCUGACGGAGCAACGCCGCGUGAGUGAUGAAGGUUUUCGGAUCGUAAAGCUCUGUUGUUAGGGAAGAACAAGUGCCGUUCAAAUAGGGCGGCACCUUGACGGUACCUAACCAGAAAGCCACGGCUAACUACGUGCCAGCAGCCGCGGUAAUACGUAGGUGGCAAGCGUUGUCCGGAAUUAUUGGGCGUAAAGGGCUCGCAGGCGGUUUCUUAAGUCUGAUGUGAAAGCCCCCGGCUCAACCGGGGAGGGUCAUUGGAAACUGGGGAACUUGAGUGCAGAAGAGGAGAGUGGAAUUCCACGUGUAGCGGUGAAAUGCGUAGAGAUGUGGAGGAACACCAGUGGCGAAGGCGACUCUCUGGUCUGUAACUGACGCUGAGGAGCGAAAGCGUGGGGAGCGAACAGGAUUAGAUACCCUGGUAGUCCACGCCGUAAACGAUGAGUGCUAAGUGUUAGGGGGUUUCCGCCCCUUAGUGCUGCAGCUAACGCAUUAAGCACUCCGCCUGGGGAGUACGGUCGCAAGACUGAAACUCAAAGGAAUUGACGGGGGCCCGCACAAGCGGUGGAGCAUGUGGUUUAAUUCGAAGCAACGCGAAGAACCUUACCAGGUCUUGACAUCCUCUGACAAUCCUAGAGAUAGGACGUCCCCUUCGGGGGCAGAGUGACAGGUGGUGCAUGGUUGUCGUCAGCUCGUGUCGUGAGAUGUUGGGUUAAGUCCCGCAACGAGCGCAACCCUUGAUCUUAGUUGCCAGCAUUCAGUUGGGCACUCUAAGGUGACUGCCGGUGACAAACCGGAAGGAAGGUGGGGGAUGACGUCAAAUCAUCAUGGCCCCUUAUGACCUGGGGCUA
rnacentral:rRNA from 2 species